GGAGGCUCCUCCCCCACAUCAUCAUAGUCCAUCCCACUGGGAGCUGGAGGGCUUUCGGGGGCCAGAACGCUCUCCCCUACAGGGAUGGAUCAGAAGACAGACAGACAGACACAGUCAGCAGAAGUGCUCUGUUCCGGAGCAGCAGAACACGCAGCACCACCAGCAGCAAGAGGAACAGCACCCCCACCACCAGGAAGGCCACUUCUAGGAUAGAUAGGCUGGGUGGAGCCUCUAAUGGGGGCUCUGGCCGUUUGGUCACUGAAAAUGAGGAAGUAAAGGGGUUGGGAAUCAGCAAACAACAUGGCAUACUGCUGCUACUUAACUUACAAUGACCACUUAGCUAGGUUUCCACCAGCUAAGUGGUCGCUGUAUGUACUGUAUAUAGCAAGUCAUUCCACAAUUCUCAAUGCAAUGAGGCCAAAAGUGGGUCAGAGAACAAGUGUACAGUAUAGCUUUUAACUAGUAAACAUUUCAGCUAUCAGUGAUUUUUAGAUUUUUAUCGAGCAUGCGAAUAAUAAUUCUGGCUGAAAAAGACUAUUGUUUUUCUGCGAGGUCCUCUGACAAUUCAAUUACUGUCUGGACCAAUGUGUCAACACGUGAGAGUGUGUCAGACUUUGGUAGUCUAGAAGUCCUCUAAUGUAGGGGAGGAAUAAUGCAGUUGUUAACUACUAACUACUGAAAUUUUAAUCUGUACAUCUUUGUUAAUGUAUUUGUACAAUGUUAAUUAAUGUUACCAACUGCAGUAGUUAAUGCUAUUUCAAUUUGGAAUAAAAACUGUUGAAUUAUU